GGUGGCUCAAUGGUAGAGCGCUUGCCUUACAUGCCUGAUGCCCUGGGUUCGAUUCCUCAGCACCA
rnacentral:tRNA from 1 species